GGCGCUUGAUGUGGAGCGGCGCUGGAGCAGCGGAGCGGGGCUUUCUUCCUCACCUCACAGCGCCGUCCUCCUCCACGACCACGCAGCCGCAGCGGCGGAGGAGCCGAAUCCCUAGCCAGCGAGCUCAGGGAGCCAUGGGUCCAUGGGGCGACGCCAUGGAAGGGCCACCAACUACAGCAGCGAGGAGAGGAGAAAGGGAGUAGCCUGACGGUCGUCUUCCACCUCCGCCUACGCCCCCGCCGGAAAUAGUACAAUGGCCAAGGAAAUAGGCAGGAGGCGCCGCUUCCCGGAUGGAUAUGGACAUGCUUCUCCAACUCUGCUUCUUCCUGGGUCGCCAUGGAAGAAAGCAGUAAGAAUCUAAGAAAGCUGAAGCCUUCCAGCACACUGCAGCAAUAAGAAGAGCGCAAGUCGAACAAGGACACAGCUCACACACUACGGUGGACAGAAAGGUAUUUAACUGUUGGUACAAAGCUGGUUGGAGAUACCUCUGUCCUGUGAUGCUUUUUCAAUGUAGUUGGAGUUCAAGUUAAAGAUGCAUUCGAGUAGUACUGUAAUAUGCAGGUAACUACGUUGCUGAAACAGUUGAUGAUGGCAAACCUAGGGCAUGAUGGGCACCGUUGAACAUAACAAAGGUGGAUCU